rnacentral:rRNA from 1 species
AUUGAACGCUGGCGGCAUGCCUUACACAUGCAAGUCGAACGGCAGCACGGGAGCAAUCCUGGUGGCGAGUGGCGAACGGGUGAGUAAUAUAUCGGAACGUGCCCGGUCGUGGGGGAUAACGUAGCGAAAGCUACGCUAAUACCGCAUACGAUCUACGGAUGAAAGCGGGGGAUCGCAAGACCUCGCGCGAUUGGAGCGGCCGAUAUCAGAUUAGGUAGUUGGUGAGGUAAAGGCUCACCAAGCCGACGGUCUGUAGCUGGUCUGAGAGGACGACCAGCCACACUGGGACUGAGACACGGCCCAGACUCCUACGGGAGGCAGCAGUGGGGAAUUUUGGACAAUGGGCGCAAGCCUGAUCCAGCAAUGCCGCGUGCAGGAUGAAGGCCUUCGGGUUGUAAACUGCUUUUGUACGGAACGAAACGGUGAGCUCUAAUACAGUUUGCUAAUGACGGUACCGUAAGAAUAAGCACCGGCUAACUACGUG